GACAGAGGGUGCAAACGUUGUUCGGAAUUACUGGGCGUAAAGCGAGUGUAGGCGGUGUGGUAAGUCUGAUGUGAAAUCUCACAGCUUAACUGUGAAACUGCAUUGGAUACUAUCCGGCUAGAGGAAUGGAGGGGAGACUGGAAUACUUGGUGUAGCAGUGAAAUGCGUAGAUAUCAAGUGGAACACCAGUGGCGAAGGCGAGUCUCUGGACAUUUCCUGACGCUGAGGCACGAAAGCCAGGGGAGCAAACGGG
rnacentral:rRNA from 1 species